rnacentral:rRNA from 1 species
AACGAACGCUGGCGGCAGGCCUAACACAUGCAAGUCGAGCGCCCCGCAAGGGGAGCGGCGGACGGGUGAGUAACGCGUGGGAAUUUUCCUCAAGGUACGGAACAACUCAGGGAAACUUGGGCUAAUACCGUAUGAUGUCUAGCGACCAAAGAUUUAUUCGCCUUGGGAUAAGCCCGCGGCAGAUUAGGUAGUUGGUGGGGUAACGGCCUACCAAGCCUGCGGUCUGUAGCUGGUCUGAGAGGACGAUCAGCCACAUUGGGACUGAGACACGGCCCAAACUCCUACGUGAGGCAGCAGUGGGGAAUCUUGCGCAAUGGGCGAAAGCCUGACGCAGCCAUGCCGCGUGAAUGAUGAAGGUCUUAGGAUUGUAAGUUCUUUCGCCCGUGACGAUGGUGACGGUAACGGGAGAAGAAGCCCCGGCUAACUUCGUGCCAGCAGCCGCGGUAA